GUCUGAGUAGUAAAAUCUUCCGCAUUUCUUUUGUGUGGCAACAGAACUAUCAGCGGACACUGCAACCAUGGUGAAGUAUUCUAGGGAACCAGACAACCCCACCAAAUCAUGCAAAGCUCGGGGCUCUGAUCUUCGAGUCCACUUUAAGAAUACAAGAGAGACUGCUCAUGCAAUUCGGAAGUUGCAUUUAGCCAAGGCUAAAAGGUACUUGGAGGAUGUUAUGGCACACAAGCAAGCUAUCCCAUUCCGUCGUUUCUGUGGUGGUGUUGGGCGAACUGCACAGGCAAAAAAUCGUCAUUCAAAUGGACAAGGGCGCUGGCCUGUUAAAUCUGCAAAAUUUAUCCUUGAUUUGCUCAAGAAUGCAGAAAGUAAUGCAGAGGUGAAAGGUUUAGAUGUUGAUUCACUCUACAUAUCUCACAUCCAAGUCAAUCAAGCACAGAAACAACGUCGCCGCACUUAUAGAGCCCAUGGAAGGAUAAAUCCUUAUAUGUCCUCGCCAUGCCACAUCGAGUUGAUUUUGUCAGAAAAGGAAGAACCUGUUAAGAAAGAGCCUGAGACUCAUCUGGCUCCUGGGAAACCGAAGGCUCAAGCCCUACGCGGUGGACCUUCCUCCUGAAGGCAAGCGGUAAACUGGUCCUGAAAAUUGGCACCAUGCAAACAUUUUUGCCUUUCUUAUCUUGUGAAACAGUCACACUCUUGAGUUUGUUUUCUGAGAUGUUUCUCCUAGAUCAUAUACCUAUUUAGAAUGUACUGUACUAUAAACUGAACCCCCGCUUUGCAACUGGGGUGCAAAGAUUGGAGCACUGAAAUCUUUCUAUGGAAUUUUGUUAUUUGUUGGAGAUAGUCUGAAAAGUAUAAGAAUAUUUUAGGCAAAAAUG
rnacentral:misc_RNA from 1 species